UACGAAGGGUGCAAACGUUGCUCGGAAUUAUUGGGCGUAAAGCGCACGUAGGCGGCUUAGCAAGUUGGAUGUGAAAGCCCUCGGCUUAACCAAGGAAGUGCAUCCAAAACUGCUGAGCUUGAGUAGUUAAGAGGAUCGCGGAAUUCCCGGUGUAGAGGUGAAAUGCGUAGAUAUCGUGAGGAACACCAGAGGCGAAGGCGGCUACCUGGACAAUUGCUGACGCUCAGGCACGAAAGCGUGGGGAGCAAAAGGG
rnacentral:rRNA from 1 species